rnacentral:snRNA from 1 species
AUACUUAUCUGGCAGGGGAGAUACCAUGAUCAGCAAGGUGGUUUUCCCAGCGUGAGGCUCAUCCAUUGCACUGCGGGUGUGCUGACCUCUGUGAUUUCCCCAAAUGUGGGAAACUCAACUGCAGAAUUUGUGGUAGUGAGGGACUGCGUUCGCGCUUUCCCCUG